CGUAAACAGCGGCGUAGUCAAUUUCUCUGGUGGAAGUCAGUAUGAAGUGAGCUGUACUGUCUGAGUGAGGCAGCAAAAGCGUAGCUUGCAGUAUCCCAAUUCUACCAGGUCAGCAAGGCUGUCAUGGCGAUGGCGCUGAACUUCAAGACCUGUGGCUGGUUAAGGUGGAUGAGAAACUGAAAAUGUGGGAUUUUUAAAAUUCUGAAAUCAAGCUGUGCCCCCACUAUCCAAUGUCAUCCCACCACUGGACAUCUUCUUGGAUGCAGAACAAUAAUAAACCUUG